AUGAGUUCUCCCUGAGACUAUAAGUCUCCUGAAGGAACGUUAAAGACGAUGACGUUGAUAGGCCGGGUGUGUAAGCGCAGCGAUGCGUUGAGCUAACCGGUACUAAUGAACCGUGAGGCUUAACCUUACAACGCCGAAG
rnacentral:rRNA from 1 species